rnacentral:rRNA from 1 species
CAGCAGCCACGGUAAUACGUAGGUGGCAAGCGUUGUCCGGAAUUAUUGGGCGUAAAGGGCUCGCAGGCGGUUUCUUAAGUCUGAUGUGAAAGCCCCCGGCUCAACCGGGGAGGGUCAUUGGAAACUGGGAAACUUGAGUGCAGAAGAGGAGAGUGGAAUUCCACGUGUAGCGGUGAAAUGCGUAGAGAUGUUGAGGAACACCAGUGGCGAAGGCGACUCUCUGGUCUGUAACUGACGCUGAGGAGCGAAAGCGUGGGGAGCGAACAGGAUUAGAUACCCCCGUAGUCCCUGUCUCUUAUAC